rnacentral:rRNA from 1 species
UACGAAGGGGGCUAGCGUUGUUCGGAAUUACUGGGCGUAAAGCGCGUGUAGGCGGGUCGUUAAGUCCGGGGUGAAAUGCCAAGGCUCAACCUUGGAACUGCCUUUGAUACUGGAGACCUUGAGUCCGGGAGAGGUGAGUGGAAUUGCGAGUGUAGAGGUGAAAUUCGUAGAUAUUCGCAAGAACACCAGUGGCGAAGGCGGCUCACUGGCCCGGAACUGACGCUGAGAUGCGAAAGCGUGGGGAGCAAACAGG